AACGCACAUUGCGCCCCCUGGUAUUCCGGGGGGCAUGCCUGUUCGAGCGUCAUUUCAAACCUCAAGCGCGAGCUUGGUGUUGGGCGUCGUCCGCCUGGACGUGCCUGAAACCCGUUGGCAGUGGUGCCCGCCUCCCAGCGUAGUCAGUCUACCCGCUUCGGAGCGCGCGGCGCCACCCGCCAGACGAACAACCCACUACUUCUAUGGUUUGACCUCGGAUCAGGUAGGGAUACCCGCUGAACUUAA
rnacentral:misc_RNA from 1 species